rnacentral:rRNA from 1 species
UAGGGAAUCUUCGGCAAUGGGGGGAACCCUGACCGAGCAACGCCGCGUGAGUGAAGAAGGUUUUCGGAUCGUAAAGCUCUGUUGUUAAGGAAGAACGAGUGUGAGAAUGGAAAGUUCAUACUGUGACGGUACUUAACCAGAAAGGGACGGCUAACUACGUGCCAGCAGCCGCGGUAAUACGUAGGUCCCGAGCGUUGUCCGGAUUUAUUGGGCGUACAGCGAGCGCAGGCGGUUAGAUAAGUCUGAAGUUAAAGGCAGUGGCUCAACCAUUGUAGGCUUUGGAAACUGUUUAACUUGAGUGCAGAAGGGGAGAGUGGAAUUCCAUGUGUAGCGGUGAAAUGCGUAGAUAUAUGGAGGAACACCGGUGGCGAAAGCGGCUCUCUGGUCUGUAACUGACGCUGAGGCUCGAAAGCGUGGGGAGCGAACAGG